rnacentral:rRNA from 1 species
GAUGAACGCUGGCGGCGUGCCUAAUACAUGCAAGUCGAACGCUGGAAAUCUAGCUUGCUAGAUUGAAGGAGUGGCGAACGGGUGAGUAAUACAUAAGCAACCUACCCACGAAGACUGGGAUAAUCUCUGGAAACGGGGACUAAUACCGGAUAGGUAAUCGGAAGGCAUCUUCUGAUUAUUAAAGGUUAAAAACACUGGUGGAUGGGCUUAUGGCGCAUUAGUUAGUUGGUGAGGUAACGGCCCACCAAGACGAUGAUGCGUAGCCGGCCUGAGAGGGUGAACGGCCACAUUGGGACUGAGACACGGCCCAGACUCCUACGGGAGGGAGCAGUAGGGAAUUGUCGGCAAUGGGGGAAACCCUGACCGAGCAACGCCGCGUGAGUGAUGACGGCGUUCGGGUUGUAAAGCUCUGUUGUAAGGGAAGAACGGUAGAUAGAGAAUAUCUAAAUGACGGUACCUUACCAGAAAGCCACGGCUAACUACGUG